GAAUUGCGAUAAGUAAUGUGAAUUGCAGAAUUCAGUGAAUCAUCGAAUCUUUGAACGCACCUUGCGCCCUCUGGUAUUCCGGAGGGCAUGCCCGGUUGAGUGUCAUGAAUAUCUCAAACCCAGUGCUUUGUUUGAAGGUCUCAUCGACUUGCUGCUGUUGCCUAGCGAGGCUUUGGCAGUCGUUGUGGGGCUGAAGCGCUGGGGCUUGGACUUGAGCCUGUGUUGGCCUUGCGUCGACUGGCUCGAAAUCUAUGAGCGAUGUGUGAUCCUUUGGGUCUGUCUCGGCGUGAUAAGUAUCACUCGCUGAGGACACCGUAAAAGGUGGCCGGGGUUGCAGACGAACCGCUUCUAAUCGUCCAUUCCCUUGGACAAUUUAUUUAUGAUCUGAUCUCAAAUCAGGUAGGACUACCCGCUGAACUUAAGCAUAUCAAUAAGCGGAGGAAAAGAAACUAACAAGGA
rnacentral:rRNA from 1 species